AUACUUACCUGGCAGAGGAGAUACCAUGAUCAGGAAGGUGGUUUCCCAGUGCGAGGCUCAUCCAUUGCACUCUGGAUGUGCUGACCCCUGCAGUUUCCUCAAACAUGGGAAACUUGUCUGCAUAAUUUGUGGUAGUGUGGACUGCAUUUGUGCUUUAGCCUGA
ensembl:snRNA U1 U1 spliceosomal RNA